CACGUAGGGUGCGAGCGUUGUCCGGAAUUAUUGGGCGUAAAGAGCUCGUAGGCGGUGUGUCGCGUCGGCCGUGAAAACUCACAGCUCAACUGUGGGCGUGCGGGCGAUACGGGCAGACUUGAGUACUGCAGGGGAGACUGGAAUUCCUGGUGUAGCGGUGGAAUGCGCAGAUAUCAGGAGGAACACCGGUGGCGAAGGCGGGUCUCUGGGCAGUAACUGACGCUGAGGAGCGAAAGCGUGGGGAGCGAACAGG
rnacentral:rRNA from 1 species